rnacentral:rRNA from 1 species
GUUGUAUAGUUAAGUGACUAAGCGUACAAGGUGGAUGCCUUGGCAAUCAGAGGCGAAGAAGGACGUGCUAAUCUGCGAAAAGCUUGGAUGAGUCGAUAAGAGGCGUUUAAUCCAAGAUAUCCGAAUGGGGAAACCCAGUAGAUGAAGAAUCUACUAUUAACAAGUGAAUUCAUAGCUUGUUGAGGCAAACCGGGAGAACUGAAACAUCUAAGUACCCCGAGGAAAAGAAAUCAACCGAGAUUUCGUCAGUAGCGGCGAGCGAAAGCGAAAGAGCCAGUAAGUGAUAGCAGUAUAGUUAGGAGAAUGUGUUGGGAAACACAAUCAAAGAGGGUGAUAAUCCCGUAUCUAAAAACCAUAUUGUGGUACUAAGCUAACGAGAAGUAGGGCGGGACACGUGAUAUCCUGUUUGAAGAAGGGGGGACCAUCCUCCAAGGCUAAAUACUCCUGAUUGACCGAUAGUGAACCAGUACUGUGAAGGAAAGGCGAAAAGAACCCCGGUGAGGGGAGUGAAAUAGAACCUGAAACCUUGUACGUACAAGCAGUGGGAGCCUGAAAGGGUGACUGCGUACCUUUUGUAUAAUGGGUCAGCGACUUAUAUUUUGUAGCGAGGUUAACCGAAUAGGGGAGCCGAAGGGAAACCGAGUCUUAACUGGGCGAAGAGUUGCAAGGUAUAGACCCGAAACCCGGUGAUCUAGCCAUGGGCAGGUUGAAGGUUGGGUAACACUAACUGGAGGACCGAACCGACUAAUGUUGAAAAAUUAGCGGAUGACUUGUGGCUGGGGGUGAAAGGCCAAUCAAACCGGGAGAUAGCUGGUUCUCCCCGAAAUCUAUUUAGGUAGAGCCUUGAGGUGACACCUUUGGGGGUAGAGCACUGUUUCGGCUAGGGGUCCAUCCCGGAUUACCAACCCGAUGCAAAC